rnacentral:piRNA from 1 species
UAGUUGACCCGUCUGACCUGUUUCAAAA